rnacentral:lncRNA from 1 species
UUUUUAUUUCAUAAAAGGAUCAAGAAAGAGUGACAUGCCCACCGGGGCCAGUAGCAACAAUGGAAGGUUCAAGAUAGGGAACUAUAAGGGACAUUAAUGAGAAGUCAGGCAAUACUGAAACUUGCAGUCAGCCUCCAGCAUUUUGUUUUAAUGAUACCAACCAUAGAAAAAGAACUUUGUUUAGGGAAGAUGUGCAUAGAAAAGACUGUCAAAGAAAGGAACUUCAGAUGCAACAUUAAGGGCAGUGAACAGAGAAGCAGCCAUCUAAAGAAAACGGAGAAGGAAUGA